rnacentral:rRNA from 1 species
CAAUAGCGUAUAUUAAAGUUGUUGCGGUUAAAAAGCUCGUAGUUGGAUUUCUGCUUAGUGCGACCGGUCCGCCUUUUGGAUGGUACCUGGUUCGCUCUGAGCUUUUUCCUGGGGACAUGGCUGCGCCUUGUUGUGUGGCCUGUUUUCUGGGUCUUUUACUUUGAGGAAAUUAGAGUGUUUCAAGCAGGCGUUUGCCUUGAAUACAUUAGCAUGGAAUAAUACUAUAGGACUUCGGUUCUGUUUUGUUGGUUUCUGGAGCUGAGGUAAUGAUUAAUAGGGAUAGUCGGGGGCAUUCGUACUUAACUGUCAGAGGUGAAAUUCUUGGAUUUGUUAAAGACGAACUAGUGCGAAAGCAUUUGCCAAGGAUGUUUUCAUUGA